AUAAAGACAACCAAAUUUCUUUGCUCUACUUAUUUUCAGCUAAUAAUGAAACUUUCCAAACCAAGCCCUUACGAUGCUGUAUCAUUUCAUUUUCCUACAUGGUUUCUGCUGAUGAUGCUCUACACAUUUUCAACUGAUGAUGCAACCAGGCCCUGGCCUUGCUGGAUCAGCACUUGCUUACCCUACAGGCUUAUGGCACAGUGUUUGCCAAACUUUCUCAUGUGCUACUUCAAGUGUAGGGUCGCCAUAGCAACAUAGGCAGGCGGGCGACAAGAAACGUGAGGGCUUGCUAUCCUGCGUGAACAGUCUUAAGCAUGUGACGGAGUUGUAUCAGAACUGUGAGGCAUUCCUUCAUGUCAAGAACCCCGUGUAUCUAGGCACGACUGUACCAUGAACUGGGAUUCACAAACGAGAGGAAUAGAUGUUCACACCAGUAGAGACAGAUCGACCAGCAGAACCCGACACUUUCACACAUUUUUGUCAAUGUAAUUUGAAUAUUUCACAUAUUGUUAAUGUAAUCGAAAUACAUUGUAUUUCACAUGUUAUUGUGAGUGCCAUGUGAACAUUUUACCAAGACCGUUAUGCCCCAGAAAUAUUUCACUUGCCACUGAUGUUGCUUUUUCAAUAUUAUUACAGAUAAUUUGCAAUGCCAUUUAAACAUUCAGAUAAUAAAUUAUUAAUGCCA